GGUCUUGGCGGGACUCGGGGUGCGCCAGGCCGGCUUGGUGCGCGUCGGCUUGGCCCGGAGCCCAGGACGGCGGCGCGCGAAGAAGUCGGUGAGGCGGCACUGCGCCAUGGCGGGAGCGGCGGGAGCGGCGGGAGCGGCGGGACGGGGGCUGCGGGACCGCGGCUGCAGGACCACGACUGCAGGACCACAGGCGGAAGUGGAGCCGCUUUUCCCGCUGAUUUUCGCGCCGCGCCCUGGCCCCGCCCCGGCCGUAGGCGGAACCAUCGGCGCCUUGGCCAAGGGGGUUGGCGCAGUAUGGACGGGCCCGGGCGCGUGCGCGCUGGCCCUCUCGGGCUGCGCCUACCGCGCAUGCGCCGCAGCUAGGGGCUCGGUUAUUUGGUGGUCCGUGUGCCGUUUCCCGAGUGCUGGAUGGGUCUGCACCGGGCGGCACGGUUCUGGGUGGCCGUCGAGCCAGUGCUGUCCUGGCAAAGAGGAACAUGCUACGCUGCUUCCACCUGAAAUUUAAAAUGAUACGGUGCAAUGAAGCUGGCGCCCAGCUGCGCGGACUAGGAGGGCGCUGCGCACGUGGCCGCGGGGGCGGGGGUCUCGGCGUGUUCUGGGCCUGGCCUGGCGCCCAGUGUGCGGCCCAGGAUCCUGAGGCUGGUGGAUGCGCCUCGAAAGAAGGUGUUCGGCAGUUUUGCGAACGGACCGAGACCACUGAAUUGCACACUUCUUUAAGGGCUGCAGCUGAACCUUACAGACCUUGGCAAUCUGGUGCUGUCACUCAACCUGUCACUGUGCCCUGGUCUCAGCCAGCAUCCUCAGUGCUCCUCGCCUUUCCAGUUACACCCCAACGUGAGGCCGGAUUAUCUUCACAUGCUUUGACCAAAACAACUCGUCACAGCAGAUUGGAUGUGGAGCGGCUGUGAGAAUCCAGCUGUCUCCUAUUCAACCAGACGUUAAAGUGACGCAAAAAGGUAAGGAAUGCCACUCUUCUCACUAAAAUUUUUUGUCUUGGAAACUACAAUUAGUUUUCAUUUAUAAAAUAUGGAUGUAUUAUUGUUAUUUUUAAUGAUUUAAUACAUAAAUUUUUUAAAGCCUUAGUUUUGGGGGGUUUUUUGUUUGUUUUUUUGCGGUACGCGGGCCUCUCACUGUUGUGGCCUCUCCCGUUGCGGAGCACAGGCUCCGGACGCGCAGGCUCAGCGGCCGUGGCUCACGGGCCCAGCCGCUCCGCGGCAUGUGGGAUCUUCCUGGACGGGGGCACG
rnacentral:lncRNA from 1 species